rnacentral:lncRNA from 7 species
AAACCGCUUACAAAUUGUGCACAAAGUCUUUGAUGUAAAGUUUUUGCCAGAAUGUGAUAGUGUUUUUUUUUUCUUUUCAAAAAUGUUAUUAUAUGUUGAUGGGGGAAAAAAAAAAUAGAAGAAGAAUCUAUUCCAGUUUUCAGUCGUAUUUUCUUUCCUUAGGAAAGAAAAUUGAUGUCAGGGAUAUUUGUGACAAGCUGUUUUGCUCUGAGUACUCUGGUUGUUGUUUCGAGAUCAAUUUAAACUGAUCUAAUACCAUGCUGCCACUAAAAAAAGCAAUUCAAUUCUGUCUUUCAUCUCUUAACUACGUGUCCUCGUACUUGUGAUCAACUUCCUGAAAACUUGUUGGGAGCAAGUGAAAGAUUAAUUUUCAGUUUGACAAGCGUCCAAUACAUCACACAACUGUUUGAUCGCUACAUGAGACCCAAGGAGAAUGAGAUGUGUGCCUGUGGGGGUGGCCAGAAAGGCUGUUGCUCAGAGCUUGUGUGAACAGCAAGGUCUUUUUGUCUUGAAUUCACUGUGUUCAUUUUAAGAUAUAGUUUCAGGCUUCUAAUCUGGCAAUGAGAAAAGGUCAAGUUACCAAGUAAUUAAUAUAGAUCAAUAAAACUAUUGUAGCAU